rnacentral:tRNA from 26 species
GCGGAUGUAGUUCAAUGGUAGAACUUCAGCUUCCCAAGCUGAUAACGCGGGUUCGAUUCCCGUCAUCCGCUCCA